GCCUUGGUAGCUUAAAUUUAAAGCAAAGCAUUGAAGCUGCUUAAAUGAAUAUUAUAUCCCAAAGCA
rnacentral:tRNA from 1 species